GACGACCGCUGGCGGCGUGCUUAACACAUGCAAGUCGAACGGAAAGGCCCUGCUUUUGUGGGGUGCUCGAGUGGCGAACGGGUGAGUAACACGUGAGUAACCUGCCCUUGACUUUGGGAUAACUUCAGGAAACUGGGGCUAAUACCGGAUAGGAGCUCCUGCUGCAUGGUGGGGGUUGGAAAGUUUCGGCGGCUGGGGAUGGACUCGCGGCUUAUCAGCUUGUUGGUGGGGUAGUGGCUUACCAAGGCUUUGACGGGUAGCCGGCCUGAGAGGGUGACCGGCCACAUUGGGACUGAGAUACGGCCCAGACUCCUACGGGAGGCAGCAGUGGGGAAUAUUGCACAAUGGGCGGAAGCCUGAUGCAGCAACGCCGCGUGCGGGAUGACGGCCUUCGGGUUGUAAACCGCUUUCGCCUGUGACGAAGCGUGAGUGACGGUAAUGGGUAAAGAAGCACCGGCUAACUACGUG
rnacentral:rRNA from 1 species